rnacentral:rRNA from 1 species
GGAAUCUGCCUAUUAAUGGGGGACAACAUCUCGAAAGGGAUGCUAAUACCGCAUACGCCCUACGGGGGAAAGCAGGGGAUCACUUGUGACCUUGCGUUAAUAGAUGAGCCUAAGUCGGAUUAGCUAGUUGGUGGGGUAAAGGCCUACCAAGGCGACGAUCUGUAGCGGGUCUGAGAGGAUGAUCCGCCACACUGGGACUGAGACACGGCCCAGACUCCUACGGGAGGCAGCAGUGGGGAAUAUUGGACAAUGGGGGGAACCCUGAUCCAGCCAUGCCGCGUGUGUGAAGAAGGCCUUAUGGUUGUAAAGCACUUUAAGCGAGGAGGAGGCUCCUGUAGUUAAUACCUACAGUGAGUGGACGUUACUCGCAGAAUAAGCACCGGCUAACUCUGUGCCAGCAGCCGCGGUAAUACAGAGGGUGCGAGCGUUAAUCGGAUUUACUGGGCGUAAAGCGUGCGUAGGCGGCUUUUUAAGUCGGAUGUGAAAUCCCCGAGCUUAACUUGGGAAUUGCAUUCGAUACUGGGAAGCUAGAGUAUGGGAGAGGAUGGUAGAAUUCCAGGUGUAGCGGUGAAAUGCGUAGAGAUCUGGAGGAAUACCGAUGGCGAAGGCAGCCAUCUGGCCUAAUACUGACGCUGAGGUACGAAAGCAUGGGGAGCAAACAGGAUUAGAUACCCUGGUAGUCCAUGCCGUAAACGAUGUCUACUAGCCGUUGGGGCCUUUGAGGCUUUAGUGGCGCAGCUAACGCGAUAAGUAGACCGCC